rnacentral:piRNA from 1 species
UGCUGAUCCAAAUCUCUCUCAGAUGC